rnacentral:other from 12 species
CUCGUCCGAGGGGACGCGGAGCAUCGCCUCGUCGCCGCUGCAGUCAGUCGCCCGGCCGGGCCUUGACAAGCUGCCGGAGGGGAGGCUCCUCUGAGCCCGUCCCGGAGUCCCGCGGCUGCCGCCGGUUCCUCCAGCGUCUGGUCUCACGAGGGGCUGCGCACCGCUGGACGCGCCUCUCCUUCUCUCCCCGCGCGCGGAGAGAGCGAGCUUAGGCCGCAGCGAGCCUGGGGGGCGCCGGCCGUGAAGGCAUCGCGGCGACCGAUUCGCCAUG